rnacentral:pre_miRNA from 1 species
GAUAUACUCCCUCCGUUCCAUAAUUCUUGUCUCAAAUUUGCCCAAAAAUGGAUGUACCUAUUCUUAGAAAGCGUCUAGAUACAUGUAAUAUUUCGACAAGAAUUAUGGAACGGAGGGAGUAUUUU